rnacentral:misc_RNA from 1 species
GUAAGUAAAAGUCGUAACAAGGUUUCCGUAGGUGAACCUGCGGAAGGAUCAUUAUUGUAUAACCGAGGUGCGAGGGCUGUCGCUGACCCGAAAGGUCGUGCACGCCCGAGUGCCCUCACACACAUCCAUCUCACCCCUAUGUGCACCACCGCGUGGGUCCCCCUUUGGCUUGUUCGGAGGGGGGCUUACGUUUUCACACAAACUUUGUAUGCAGUGUAGAAUGUAUUUUUUGUUUUUGCGAUCACGCAAUCAAUACAACUUUCAACAACGGAUCUCUUGGCUCUC